rnacentral:rRNA from 1 species
AUGGGACUAGCCGAGCUCAUCAUCGCCAUGAAGAAGCGUCGCCAGCAAAUCCAGGCCGGCAGUAGUAAGCCGGCAAAACCCACACCAGGUAUAUCGAUCCCUUCAGGGUCUAAAAGGACAAGGUCAUCCUGUGAACAAGACGACUAUUCUCAAGGCACCAAAACAAUGCGAUUUUCAGGGCCAGCCCUUCCAGAGGUUCUUAAUACACCAAUCGUAACUGCCAAAUUCCUGCACCUCAAGCUAUUGGAGAUUUGUCUCUCUGUUGCAGAAGGGGCCUUUUCCCCAGCUUAUGAUUAUUUGUCUCUAGCUUUUUUCCUGGAUGCUUGUCCUGUGUUGGAAACUUUCAAAUUGUCUGUAUGGCAGACUCGCAUGAAGCAUGAUCCUGUAUCUGGGGAUUCCUCUCUUCUCAGAAAGAUGCCAGGACACCACCACGCCAGCAUCAAGAACGUGAAGAUCGAUGGCUUUUGCUCUGCAAAGAGCAUGAUUGAGCUAACUUGCCAUAUUCUUGACAAUGCAACAUCACUUGAGAAUCUUAAACUGGACCCCAUAUAUGUUGGUGGUUAUGAACAUGUUGAUAGGUUAACUGUCCACGAAAUUGGUGAUUGCAGUCCUCAUACAGGACAGCGUAUGAUCAGAGAAGCCCACAAAGCAGUUUUGGCUAUCGAAAAAUACAUCAUUGGGAAGGUCCCCUCUAAUGUUAAGCUAAAUAUCAAGAAGCCAUGCAGUCAGUGCCAUUCUGUCAAAUGA